rnacentral:rRNA from 1 species
UACGUAGGGGGCAGCGUUGUCCGGAUUUAUUGGGCGUAAAGAGCGUGUAGGCGGCCAUGUAGGUCCGUUGUGAAAACUCGAGGCUCAACCUCGAGACGCCGAUGGAAACCAUGUGGCUAGAGUCCGGAAGAGGAGAGUGGAAUUCCUGGUGUAGCGGUGAAAUGCGCAGAUAUCAGGAAGAACACCCGUGGCUAAGGCGGCUCUCUAGUACGGUACUGACGCUGAGACGCGAAAGCGUGGGGAGCGAACAGG